UCCACUACUGUACCAGCAUCAAGUGGAAGUGGAUCUCUAUUCUUUUCUACUCCUGCUGCUGCCUCAUCAACACCCUCUUUGUUCUCAACCCCCACCAGUUCAGCUCCAUUCUCGUCUUUGUUAGGAACUGCUGCUUCACAGUCAUCACCUUUUAGUUCCUUGUCUGCUUCACAGUCAUCACCUUUUAGUUCCUUGGCUGCUUCAUCAUCUGCCUUUGGUAUUUCCACUCCCAUUAGUUCAACCCCUGCUGGAGCCUCAACAUUUUCAACACCUUUUGCUACAGGUGAGGUGUCACUUUUUUAUUUUUUACUAGGUAUUGAGAUUUCUAUAAAUGCCAAAAUGGACAAUGAAUAGGAGAACAAGGAAUGGAAAAAAAAUGACAAAACUGCUGUCCUUUUGUAAUUUGUUUUUAACUGCUAAAACUAAUUCUUUCAUGCUAAUUGUUAUUGCUGGAUACUAUAAAUUAGCCAGACAACGUAUAAUAUGAUGUUUUGUCUGUUUAGUAUGACUCAAGAUACUCCAAUGCUUUUUUGAGUUUAUGGACUAAAAUCUAAAAUUAUUACUGAAUAGUGUUACUUCUUUAGAAGACGGCUCUGAGAUGUUAUAUAUCACAGGACAAAAGUCACUUAUAUUGCAUGAAAAUAGUAGUGCCAUGCAUGAAUAGUUUUUUGUUGUUUUUAUGCUCUUUUGCUCUAUCUCCCUGAACAACCUUUGUUUUGUGAAUAGGAGCUGCAACUGGGUCUGGAGCAAGCUUUGGAAUGGCAUCAGUAAGUAAACUUGACUUCUCUUCAAUAAAAUUGCCUUCCACUCCCAAAUUAUGUUUUUGCAUGGUUUACAUUAGUUAAACAAGCUUUUAGAGGGUGUUUGGCUGAGCUUAUAAGCUCCUUAAAACAAUUGUAAGCUCUUGAGAAGUGUUUGGUAAAAUAAGUUCAUAAACAACUUAUAAACUGUAAAAAUAAGCUCCCUCAAAAAAUAAGUUCCUCAACUCUCACUUUCCUUUUCAUAAUCUCAUAAGCAACAAUCAUUCUACCAAAGUAACUCUACUAUGGUUUAUUAUUUCCAUUAUAAACCCUUACAAGUUUAUCUAUCUUUAAUUUUCUCUUUCUACCUAGGAUUUUCUUUCUCUAGCUCACAAUUUUCUCUCUAACUUAAAAUAUCAAUCAUCCAAACACUUUGACAACAUAUAAACUCUUGAGACAUUACAUCUUAUAAGCUCUUUAAAAUAAGCUUAGCGAAACACUCCCGUUAAUCAGGCCAAUUGUGAUUCAAGUUUGGAUGAACUGAUCUAGUGAGAUUAUAUACUUUUCAAAACUUAAGCUGUAUGAGAUUUCAAAAUCAUUUACGCUCGUCUCCAUUUAUCCUGCAGAAGGCGAGAGCGAAGAGUCGCACGGGGCGGCGCUAGCGAGGAAGAAUGCACCACCACUGUUACUAUCCAUCUUAUUUGUCUUGACUUACUUAACAUGUAUUUGUUCCAAGUUGAGCUCAGAAACUUGUUUCAUUCGGAUUCUGAAUUUUAUGGCCGGAGGAAAAUCAGAUACGAGUAAAAGCACCUUUUGCCUUUCCUGCUUCUCAGUUUCAGGUUUCUCAAUUCAAU
rnacentral:lncRNA from 1 species